CAGCAGCCGCGGGAAUACGUAGGGUGCAAGCGUUAAUCGGAAUUACUGGGCGUAAAGCGUGCGCAGGCGGUUUGUUAAGACAGAUGUGAAAUCCCCGGGCUCAACCUGGGAACUGCAUUUGUGACUGGCAAGCUAGAGUCUGGCAGAGGGGGGUGGAAUUCCGCGUGUAGCAGUGAAAUGCGUAGAUAUGCGGAGGAACACCGAUGGCGAAGGCAGCCCCCUGGGCCAACACUGACGCUCAUGCACGAAAGCGUGGGGAGCAAACAGGAUUAGAUACCCCAGUAGUCCCUGUCUCUUAUAC
rnacentral:rRNA from 1 species